UCAUACAAAAUUUAAACUUUGACAGAGAAUUGCAAUUGUACAUUGACAUUCAAAAGUGUUUAUUUGUGCAAUUUCUUUAAAUGGCGGGAGAAGUUAUAGUUGAUGCAUUGCCAUAUAUUGAUCAAGGAUACGAUGAACCUGGAGUUAGAGAAGCAGCUUUGGCCAUGGUUGAAGAAGAAACUCGUCGUUAUAGACCGACAAAAAACUAUUUAGAACAUUUGCCAUCAUUAAAUAUUACUGCUUUUGAGACAGAGGUUAUGAAACAUGAAUUUGAGCGAAUGCAAAACCGUUUACCUAUGGAAGUACUCAGUAUGAAGCGCUAUGAGUUACCUCCACCUCCACCAGGUAAAAUGAAUGAUCUUGCAGCAUGGAAUGAAAGUGUAAAAAAUAGCAGUGCACAAUUGGAACAUCAGGCUACCAGAAUCUGUAAUCUUGAGUUAAUGAUGGAAUAUGGAUGCGAAGCAUGGAAAUCUUAUUUGGAAGUAUUAGUACAACUAGUGAGUCAAGCUCAAAAACAGCUACAAGCAUUAAGGAAAAGAAUUCAAGAGGUUAAUUGGCAAAGAAAAUCUAUGCAAACUCAAGGCGGAGAAAAGUUAAGGGCAUUAGAAGCACAAUGGGUAGGACUAGUGUCAAAAAAUUAUGAGAUUGAACAAGCGUGUGUUCACUUAGAAGAAGAAAUACAGAAAUCUAUGAUGAAUAAGGGUGAGGGUGUAGAAAUCAAUGAUGUGCCAGGAGAGGAAGAACCUGACAUUCCAGAGAAAAGUGCAACUGAGGUUAUGGCAACAAAGAUGGAUCAGCAAGAACAACAAAAUCAAGAACCUUAAAAUUAAACUAUCGAUCCUAUUCAUUUCCGAAAUAGGUUAUAUAAAGUUAUAUACGAUAUCGUAAGGAACACAAGGUAUUAUUUUAUAAAUUAUUGCUGGAUAAAUAUAUUAAGCUAGGUUAGUAAGUUAAUAUAAUGUAAUAUAAACAAUGAAUAAGUGGCGCAGAGACUAAUUUAUUAAAAAUAUUAUUAAUCUUUCGUUAUCGGUAGUGAAAUAUCGUCGAAGUGGUGUGAAAGAGGUAGUUGGUACAAUGCCGUAUGGUAUAUCAUGGCCUCGAUUUAUUUCCUUUAUUUCAUUAGUAUUUCUUGCGACUGCGUCUGGUUCGCAAGCUGUGCAUCUUAUAUACAGGCCCCUUGACGAUUUAGAUGAUUUGAUAGAAGAGGCAUUUCAGAAAAGACUUUCAGAACUACAAGAUCGUAAAUAAUAUGUAAUUAAAUAAAUUGAUUCGGUUACU